UUUCCAGAAGGGAGGUUCAGUUAGCUGCAGCAGAGCUAAUGGAGACCCAGGAAGACAUGCACUUAGGACUUAAAGAAUAGGGGAGUCAGAAAGAGAAUGCUUGAGGGAGGUGGAAGAUGAUUUAGUUUGGGGUGUUCUGUUUUGAAGUGUUAAUAGGCAGCAACAGCUUAAAGUUGUGGAGCUCAAGAAAUGGGUUAGAGAUGUGGAUUUGCUGAGAAAUACAGACUAGCUGAAACUUUGGAAAGUUUAAGGGGCCCUCAGAGGUGGAGACUGGCCAAAGAAUCACAUAGAAUUUGAUGCUGAUUAUGGAGGCCAAAUCCAUAGGCCAGUGGUGCUUGGAUUGUGCUUGUAGAUGUCUUCAAGUAGCAAGAUUCCUUGUAAAAAUGGCACCAUUAAAGGAGCCUGUUAUUCCUGCCCAUUCUGUCCUCCACCCCCCAAACCAAAUAGUAUUCUACAUUUUAAUCUUGUUUCUUAAUCCACUGGGAUCAGUAUAAGAUUCAGUCAAGGAAGCAAUUCUGAAGUCUUUUGCUCACAGAAGUAAUGUGAGCUGCGUGCAAAUCCUCUUACCUAUGACUCUAAAAUGACCUCUGUGCCUGUGGGAGGGUGAAUUUGGUGGCACUUAGGACACAGUGACAAUAUGGAAGAGACAGGCCGGCAAGGGACACGACAGCACAGAGACAUCAUCACGGGACUUGUGCAACAGCUGGACGAGGCGGCAAGAGAUACACCAUUUAGGAAACCAGGGCCCCUGGUACCGAGUGUGGCCUGUGGUAUUAAAAGGUCAGGCUGGCUGAGAAGUGAAGGUCAUCAACCUCCUCCAGCGUCUGUCCCCCCACCCAGACACACCAAACGAGUCGGAGCCGCCCUUCUGGAAAGCAGCAGUGAGUGUGAAGGCAUUUUGCCCUGGAAUAUUCCAAAACUCUAGGAAGCCGAGGAAAGAUGGAGAAAAACGAAAACUAAGCACAAGAUCUGUGCCAUAGCUCAUUCCAAUCCACUAACAACAAUUUAAAAAAAUAACCACCAUGGUCAAUGAAAGAAAAAAAAAAAAAGAACCAGGCAGCAUAAGCACAAUGGAGAACUCUGCCAGCAGCCGUGUGCCUCCUCAGGUAAGUCAUAACAGCCCUGCUCCUGACCCCAGGCUUCUCUUAAAAUGUCAGGUCUCCCGCAGCCUGCCAGGAAGGUGGCCAGCUGAGAUGAUGUUCCAGCACAGGCCUGUAACCAGAACCCGCUGGAAGGAUCUGAGCUACUAAAUAAAGUCAGGAAGAAGGGGAGUAGGGAGGAGCGAAAAAGGGAGUAAGUUGGCUCCUGGGGGCGGUGCCGAGGAGGAGGAUGUGUGUUAGCUACUCUCAGAUCAGUGUUGGCAUAACCCACAGGGUGAAGGCCCCGGCGGCGUGGCAGUGAGCCUAGGACAACGCAUGCGUGGAGCGUUGCCUGGACAGCACCCUCUGGGACUGCCCUGUUUCCUCUGGCCCCUUCCAGCUGUCCGUACAAGAAGUGUUUAAUGCAUACAUGCCAUGCGGUCAAGAAGCGCCAAAACUAAAAGAAGGGCCACUACUAUUAUACAUGGCCUACCUACACAUCCUCCUCCAAUGGUCUAUUUUAUAAAGAAUCUGGGCCAAGGAAGUAGCUUUUGGAAAAACAGAAAAACCUCAUGCCUCCCCCAGAAGCAGCCUUUAGCUCUUCUUGAGGAGGUUAAGGAACCAUCCAGCUGUAACCAAACAGGACUGCUGGCUCAGCUGCACCUGGAGGAUACUGCUCAGGACUUCAGGGAGGCUCUGUAGUUGGGGCCAAAAUUCAUAGCUCAGGUGUCAUACCUGACCUCAGGCAUGCACACACGUCCCAGAGGGUCUCGCAGCCAUGAGACUCUGUCCACAGAGGGCGCCAGGCCCCAGCUUCAGACCUGCAUAUAUUGUCCCUCGCAGGUAGCAUAAGGGGUUUGUGUGUUGUCUCUGGGUUCUCUGCUGAGAACCCAUGUGAGACUACCUAGCUCUGCUCUGAGAGUGCUCCUGUCUCCUCAGGAUGCUUGGAGAACAGCCCUCCUACAUGGAAAGCUCAAGGCUACAGCUCAGAUCCUGCA